CCUACGGGAGGCUGCAGUGGGGAAUAUUGCACAAUGGGGGAAACCCUGAUGCAGCGACGCCGCGUGAGUGAAGAAGUAUUUCGGUACGUAAAGCUCUAUCAGCAGGGAAGAAAAUGACGGUACCUGACUAAGAAGCCCCGGCUAACUACGUGCCAGCAGCCGCGGUAAUACGUAGGGGGCAAGCGUUAUCCGGAUUUACUGGGUGUAAAGGGAGCGUAGACGGCAGCGCAAGUCUGGAGUGAAAUCCCAUGGCUUAACCAUGGAACUGCUUUGGAAACUGUGCAGCUAGAGUGCAGGAGAGGUAAGCGGAAUGCCUAGGGUAGCGGUGAAAUGCGUAGAUAUUAGGAGGAACACCAGUGGCGAAGGCGGCUUACUGGACUGUAACUGACGUUGAGGCUCGAAAGCGUGGGGAGCAAACAGGAUUAGAUACCCCUGUAGUC
rnacentral:rRNA from 1 species